UACAAAAUGGCGCCCCACAUGAUGAAUUUCACGUGCACUGCUUAGGCUAUACACUGAACGACUCCCCGGUAUACUAGGUAACAUUAGGCCCUAGCUUAGACCCAGUUACUUUUUAAUUUGUGAUUGUUGGACUAUGGCUCAAGGAUUUAAAGACUACUGUGUGUGUGAACAUGAACAGAAUACGAAUAAGAUGAAAGAGAAUUAUGAAAUCAAGUUGGAAAGAGACUGUGAGCCUAUGGAUAAA